rnacentral:lncRNA from 1 species
GAUAUGUCUUUACACAUCUUCUCGAUGUCAUUCACAAUCAAAGUUCGACGACAUAUUUGAUGGAAGAAGUCGCCUAACUCCAUUAAUGUAGCUGUCACAUCCUUCUUCAAGAUUCCAUGUGUGCCUAUAGAAAAAAUGCUUUGUAGGAGAACAUGAUAAUCAUGGAUUUUUAGUCUCAUAAUCUUCUUUUUUUCAACAUUGAUACAUCA